rnacentral:rRNA from 1 species
CCUACGGGUGGCAGCAGUGAGGAAUAUUAGUCAAUGGGCGGGAGCCUGAACCAGCCAAGCCGCGUGAGGGAAGAAGGUACAGCGUAUCGUAAACCUCUUUUGUCAGGGAACAAAGGCGGGGACUAGUCCCCGGAUGAGUGUACCUGAAGAAAAAGCAUCGGCUAACUCCGUGCCAGCAGCCGCGGUAAUACGGAGGAUGCGAGCGUUAUCCGGAUUUAUUGGGUUUAAAGGGUGCGCAGGCGGUCUGUUAAGUCAGCGGUCAAAGCCCGGGGCUCAACCCCGGCCCGCCGUUGAAACUGGCAGUCUCGAGUUGGAGAGAAGUAUGCGGAAUGCGCGGUGUAGCUGUGAAAUGCAUAGAUAUCGCGCAGAACUCCGAUUGCGAAGGCAGCAUGCCGGCUCCACACUGACGCUGAGGCACGAAAGCGUGGGUAUCGAACAGGAUUAGAUACCCCAGUAGUC